UGACGUGAUCAGUGAUGAUGACGAUGACGAUGCGGAUGCCGGUGACGUCAUCGGCAUCCGCAUCGUCAUCAUCACUGAUGACGUCAC
rnacentral:pre_miRNA from 1 species